CCUUAUACGACCGUACCGCAAACCGACACUGGUGCGCGAGAUGAGUAUUCUAAGGCGCUUGAGAGAACUCAGGAGAAGGAACUCGGCAAAUUGACACCGUAACUUCGGAAGAAGGUGUGCCCUAUUAGUGUGUAGUGAACAACGAAGCAUGAAUGGGUUGCAAAAAAUCGGUGGCUGCGACUGUUUAUUAAAAACACAGCACUCUGCAAACACGAAAGUGGACGUAUAGGGUGUGACGCCUGCCCUGUGCUGGAAGAUUAAAUGAUGGGGUGCAAGCUCUUGAUUGAAGUCCCAGUAAACGGCGGCCGUAACAAUAACGGUCCUAAGGUAGCGAAAUUCCUUGUCGGGUAAGUUCCGACCUGCACGAAUGGCGUAACGAUGGCCACACUGUCUCCUCCUGAGACUCAGCGAAGUUGAAAUGUUUGUGAUGAUGCAAUCUCCCCGCGGAAAGACGGAAAGACCCCAUGAACCUUUACUGUAGCUUUGUAUUGGACUUUGAACAGAUCUGUGUAGGAUAGGUGGAGGCUUUGAAGCAGGGUCGCUAGAUCUUGUGGAGCCAACGUUGAAAUACCACCCUGGUGUGUUUGAGGUUCUAACCUAGGUCCAUUAUCUGGAUCGGGGACAGUGCAUGGUAGGCAGUUUGACUGGGGCGGUCUCCUCCCAAAGCGUAACGGAGGAGUUCGAAGGUACGCUAGUUACGGUCGGACAUCGUGACGAUAGUGCAAUGGCAUAAGCGUGCUUAACUGCGAGACUGACAAGUCGAGCAGAUGCGAAAGCAGGACAUAGUGAUCCGGUGGUUCUGUAUGGAAGGGCCAUCGCUCAACGGAUAAAAGGUACUCUGGGGAUAACAGGCUGAUACCGCCCAAGAGUUCAUAUCGACGGCGGUGUUUGGCACCUCGAUGUCGGCUCAUCUCAUCCUGGGGCUGUAGCCGGUCCCAAGGGUAUGGCUGUUCGCCAUUUAAAGAGGUACGUGAGCUGGGUUUAAAACGUCGUGAGACAGUUUGGUCCCUAUCUUCCGUGGGCGCUGCAGAUUUGAGGAAGCCUGCUCCUAGUACGAGAGGACCGGAGUGGACACACCUCUGGUGUAUCGGUUGUCACGCCAGUGGCAUUGCCGAGUAGCUAAGUGUGGAAGAGAUAACCGCUGAAAGCAUCUAAGCGGGAAACUCGUUUCAAGAUGAGAUCUGCCGGGGCCUUGAGCCCCCUAAAGAGUCGUUCAAGACCAGGACGUUGAUAGGUCAGGUGUGGAAGCG
rnacentral:rRNA from 1 species